rnacentral:lncRNA from 1 species
AUGGCCACAUCCCAGGGACCGGCUGGCCAGUGGAGCCCAAUGGUGAUUGUGGAGACUGCGGGUGGAGCCCUGCCCCAGGUUUCCCAGUAUUCAGUGAAACCUGCUAACCAGAAAAAGACUAUUUAUCCUUUGAGGAUGUGGCUGGGUACUUCUCCUGGGAGGAAUGAACACUGCUUAAUGACUCUCAAAGAAUCCUGCACCAGACUGUGAUGUCAGAGAACUGAAAACUCAUGUCUUUGAUGGACUUAUACCUUCUGGGAUCCAUGACAUGACUCAGCUGGAGUCUUGGGGAGAGCCCUCUGUGCCUGCAUUGAGAUUCCUGACUCCAGGUUGUUGGAUCAAAGAGGAGAGUGAAAUGUCACCCUUUGAGCAGAGUCCAUCUGCAGAAGGUGCCAGUCCAUCCACACUGCAACAGCACAUGCUGUGCUGUGCUGAGACACCCUUGCUAUGCAUGGACAGUGUGAGGAUCUUCCAGACCUCCUCGGGUCUUCUAAGGCAUCAAGUGACUUACACUAUUGGGGAUGCCCCCACAACACUGAGAGUAGAGAGGCCAUUCAGAGUGAGAAGAAGAACUGCAUACGCAGCGACAGUGGCAAAAAACUUUUACUAGCUCAUCCCACCUCAAUCAACACCGGAUGAUACACACUGGAAAAAAGCCUUUUCAGUGCAGGGGGUGUGGGAUGUCCUUCAGCCAAAAAACCUUUCUAGUUAAGCAUUUCAGAAUUCACUCUGGAAAGAAGCAUUUCAGGUGAAGUGAGUGUUGCAAAACCUUCAAGGACAACUGCUUCCUUGUUGCUCAUCAGCGAUUUCACACAGGAGAGACACUUUUACAUGUACUAAACGUGGCAAGUCAUACAUUAACAGAUCCAGUAUUUCG